ensembl:lncRNA
AAAAAGGUUCUUUUGGUCAAGAGAGCAGUGCAAAGAGAGCCAGAGACUGAAACCUGCAGCACUUGACCAAAAGCACAAACUCUGAAAAAAGAGCUCCGAAGGGUGGGUCUCAGUUUAUCUCCUAAGCAUCCUUACAUAAAAUGAGGAUGUAACUUAAAAGGAUGCUGGGAAUGUAGCUCAGGUGUUGCAAAUUUUCCAUCUGCACAGAACCCAUACUUAACAUUGAUUCUAAGACAGAAGGUAAGAGCUUUUAAAAGACCUAAGUUCAAAUUUUGUCUCACACUUCUCAGAUUUGCAAUUCCAGGCAAGUCACUAAGCAUCUCUCUGCCUUGACCAAGGGAUAUCAGAAAGGAUCCUUUACCUAGAAAUACCUCCUGUAACCAUCUAGUACAAUGCCUGAGAUCACACCGUAAAAACUUAUUUCUUUCAUGCUAAGAUCUUGUCCCUUUUUGAAAUGCAAAAAUUCAGAAAAGGAACCUAGAGCUUUAAAACCCAAAGUCGACCAUGUUUCCUAUUUUUUUGCACAACAGUUAGAUAGCAGAAUUAAACUAUGAGUCAGUAUCUUCCCAUUUCUGGGCCUCAGUUCCCCCAUCUGCCAAAUAUCACUGAAUGAUCUCAAAAAUCUCUCCCAGCUGUGAUGUUGUACGUUCUACUUGAAGGUUUUUCCUAAUUAUAUGUCCUAUGGUUUAAUGUUCCUCCAAGCUUUGAUGUUCUAUGUUCUCAUAUUUCCUCCACAGCCCCCAUUGUAUGACUUGCUAAAAGUCACCCAAUGGGUCAGUGGCAGGCUAGAAUCCAGAUCACUUGACUCCCAGGCCAGCGUGUUCUCAGAGGGGAGUGAGAGUGUCUCCUCAUUCUCCCAAACAUGGUUUUCCAUCUAUGUGUUGGGUCCUGACUCCUGAGGUCAGGGGUUACCCUGACUGUAUCUGUCUUACAAUUCCUUGGUUUUCCCUUGAAGAACAGGUGAAGCAUUUUAACAAGAGCACCAGAAUCUGUUGCAUUACCAGGAGGUCCCAGAGUGACUCCAGAAAGGGAAAAGAGAGUGAAGAGCUUAUUCCAGAGAGACCAGGGCAAGUCCACCAGGGAACCAGAAUCUCACAAACAGAGUCCUUGGUGAGUCAGGUACAGGAGUCCACCUGAUGUCCUCAGAUGUCCCAGCAAGGUAGAGAUCUUUUCCCAGUCAGGCUGUCCACCAGGAAGACUGGAGAUAUUCUCUCACCGCAGCCAGUUGUUGGAUGCAUGGAUUCCAGGAUGUCUCAGCCACCCACCUUUCUCCUUCACCUGGCAGCUCCAGAGUUGGUAAUCAGUUCCUAGGAGUUCUGACUCAAUCAAGCUCAGGCAGAUUCUGAGUCUCAUGUCCUGUCAAUCAUUCUCUUGCAAUCUUUACCUCCCAUUGCUCCACCUGGAAAGAGGAAUCAAUCGAUAUUAAAUGCCUACUGUGUGCCAGGCAGACAUGAAGGGCAUCUUUUGCUCAGAAACAAACCCAUUUGACUGGAUCUCCCUCUCCUUUGGCGUCUGAGGAGGUACCUACAUCCCAGUCCCCUUCUCUUUCUCUGCCAUAUGUGAAAGACACUCCAUUCUGAGGAAAGCUGAGGCUUCCACUCCCCCCUACAGAACCUAGGAAAUACCGACAAUGCUGGGCCACCAGAUGGAGCUCAGAAACCUAGAAUGGAGUCAACAGGCAAGCCACUGGAGGCUGGAAGGGACCAGGAGGAAAAUUUCUGUUAGAAAUGGGGGGGGGGGUCCCAAAAUGGGCUAGGCUGCCUCCUCAUUGGCCUCCCCCCAUGCCUGAAAUGUGUUCCCUCUUUAGCUCAGCCUCAUAGAAUCCACCUCUGUUCUUUUAAGACAAGCUCGGACUCAUCUUCUCCAUGAAGCUUUUCCAGAUUCUUCCAACUGCUAGUACUCUCUCUCUCAAAUGGAUACACUACGAUGUGUGCGAACUUUGUGUA